UAGGGAAUCUUCCGCAAUGGGCGAAAGCUUGACGGAGCAACGCCGCGUGAGUGAUGAAGGUCUUCGGAUCGUAAAACUCUGUUAUUAGGGAAGAACAAAUGUGUAAGUAACUAUGCACGUCUUGACGGUACCUAAUCAGAAAGCCACGGCUAACUACGUGCCAGCAGCCGCGGUAAUACGUAGGUGGCAAGCGUUAUCCGGAAUUAUUGGGCGUAAAGCGCGCGUAGGCGGUUUUUUAAGUCUGAUGUGAAAGCCCACGGCUCAACCGUGGAGGGUCAUUGGAAACUGGAAAACUUGAGUGCAGAAGAGGAAAGUGGAAUUCCAUGUGUAGCGGUGAAAUGCGCAGAGAUAUGGAGGAACACCAGUGGCGAAGGCGACUGUCUGGUCUGUAACUGACGCUGAUGUGCGAAAGCGUGGGGAUCAAACAGG
rnacentral:rRNA from 1 species